UCUAAGUCAGAAUCCGUGCCAGAAAGCGACGACGCCUCCCGCACGUAUAGAUGGACACGAAUAGGCCUCUGGCUUAGCGUCUUAGCAGGCAAAGAACGCCAACGCUCUGGAAACGGGUGUUGGUACUUUGCGAAUUGUAAUUUCAGCACGAGCGGGGUCGAAUCCCUUGCAGACGACUUUGAUGUGCGAAAGGGUCCUGUAAGCAGUAGAGUAGCCUUGUUGUUACGAUCUGCUGAGGGUAAGCCCUACUUCGCCUCGAUUU
rnacentral:rRNA from 1 species